CCCAAAAUACAAUUUAUAGGUGGAAGCGGGAAAAAAAGUGUCCUAAAAGUGAUACUAAAAUAUUAAAAGCAUAAAACUUUUCACCAAAACUCAUCAAGCGCCAAAACUAAGAAUUAUUUUUCUAAGAAAAAACAAAAAAAAGCUCUUUGUUUCUCAAUACAAAUCCCAUUGAUAUACUUUGCCCUAGCAGCAGCUCCUCUGCAGAUCUCUAUUCUCAGCCAACAUUCAUCAAAAACAUUGCAGUUUCUCAAAAGAGAGAAAGCACAACAAAUUCUGUCAAAUGAACAUUGGGUACUCACCUGCAGAUCGAAUCUAGCAUUUUCAGAAGCUACAGAUGCUGAAGAAAUAAUUUUUGCUGCAUCAUCUUCAACAAGGGCUAGUUGCCUCUCAUUAAGCUUUAAUUCCUCAAUAAUUGCAGCUGCAACUCCUUCAACUCCUUUUACUUCUUCUUGUCCACUUGUUCAAGCAGACAAUUCAUAAAUGUAGCAACUGCUUAUAUUAAAGUGAACUUAAGAUGAUGAGAAAUCUCAUGGAGAGCUGCUUGAUAUGGACUUUAUUCUACACGUGUGAAGCUCUAACAUAUACUCCUGUGCUUUCGGAUUUCCUCGGGAUUUGAAUAUUUUCGUUUACAAGUCAAGAUGCAAGUUUGAAGACAUUAAAUAAGUUUUGCCAAAUCGGUCAUCCUUUCGCUUGGAUAGUUUGGCAAUAAAUUUCAUUAUAUAUUUAGAGAUGUUAGCUUUUUGGCUAAUGAAUUGUGUAAAUAUAGUGUUGUGUAAUCAGUAUUGCAUGUGAGAUGUUUAUCUAUAGUUUUAAAUAAUACGAUAGAUAAUUUUGUAUAUAUGCAUUUGAUUAUCCAUAUUUAAAAUUUUUAUAAUAUCUUAGACA